CCUCCCUCCAUCCGCACCGCGCCGCGUCGGCUCGCCCACCCAUCGCCGCGCGACACGGCUCUCCUACAUCCCGCCUAUAAUAACGAGCCGCGCCGUGACGCCUCUCUUCUUGUUAAGCUUUUCGCUCUCCGAAUACCACCUGCUCCAUUACCACACGCUGCUUUCUUUCUCUUCUUCUUCCUCAUCGCGUCACCUCCUCUAGUUCGCAACUCGCAUCUGCUUUCUUUUGAGUUGGUGUUCGUAGUAAGAGGAGGAAGCUGAAGAUGAGCGAUCCCAAGUACGCGUACCCUUACCCGGCGCAGGGCUACUACCAGGGCCCGUACCAGGGGCCUCCGGUGAUGGCGCCGCCGCAGUACGCCGCGCCGCCGCCCAGGCGGCAGCCUAGUUUCCUCGAAGGCUGUUUGGCUGCGCUUUGUUGCUGCUGCUUGAUCGACGAGUGCUGCUGCGACCCGUCGAUUAUAUUCGUCAGCUAAGGAUGCAUCCAUCGAUCGACCUGGCUUGGCCUCAGGUCGCAUCUAUUGUACAGACACGGCAGCACGGCUUGAUCCUCAAGUCCUCAUCAAGGAUGCAGUAUUAAUCUGCUUCUCGAAUUGUUUUAUGCCAGCUUAUUGCUUACAGCUGCUGCUGCUUCCUAUAUAUAUAUGUACUGUGUCCUAUCAGUGUGAUUAAUAAACGACUGUGUCCUCCUUUAAUUACUUAUCCUUUGUGUAUGCAGCUUGUUCGCGUUUGUUUGCCCUUGUGUUUAGCAUCAUGUUCAUUUGGAUCGAUUGAAAUAUUAGCAACUAUUAAAGCA